rnacentral:rRNA from 1 species
ACGAACGCUGGCGGCGUGCCUAAUACAUAGCAAGUCGAACGGCUUUUCUAUGGAAGCUUGCUUCCACUGAGAAGAUAGUGGCGAACGGGUGAGUAACAACGUGGGUAACCUGCCCAUAAGAGGGGGGAUAACAUCCGGAAACGGGUGCUAAUACCGCAUAGUUUUCUUGAUCGCAUGAUUGAGAAAGGAAAGACGGCCUUUGUGCUGUCGCUUAUGGAUGGACCCGCGGCGUAUUAGUUAGUUGGUGAGGUAACGGCUCACCAAGACGAUGAUACGUAGCCGACCUGAGAGGGUGAUCGGCCACAUUGGGACUGAGACACGGCCCAAACUCCUACGGGAGGCAGCAGUAGGGAAUCUUCCGCAAUGGACGAAAGUCUGACGGAGCAACGCCGCGUGAGUGAAGAAAAGGGUUUUCGGAUCGUAAAACUCUGUUGUCAGAGAAGAACAAGUUGGAGAGUAACUGCUCCAGCCUUGACGGUAUCUGACCAGAAAGCCACGGCUAACUACGUGCCAGCAGCCGC